rnacentral:misc_RNA from 1 species
GUAGGUGAACCUGCGGAAGGAUCAUUAACGUCGGUAGUUUACUACCGUUUGAGGGAUGUGGAAACUCCUUAGGCUCUGCUUGAGGGCAAGUACACGUCUUUUCUUAACCCUUGACUUUUUGCGCACUCAUGUUUCCUCGGCGGGCUUGCCUGCCGGUUGGACAACCCUAUAACCUUUUAAUUUUCAAUCAGCGUCUGAAUAAUUAUAAUAAUUACAACUUUCAACAACGGAUCUCUUGGUUCUG